AUAGACAUUCAAGGAUACAAUAAUUCGCAUAGAGCUAAAAAUUGGUGCAAAUGUUUGGAAUACCAAUAUAAAUGAACUGUGAAAAGUCCCCAUCGAUCCCACAUUUGCAAAAUAAGGUCAAAGUUCACAAAAAAUGGGAUUAAUGAAUUUUCCAGCUAAACAGUAGUUUUAUCAUAAAAUAUAUCAAAAGGUGGAU